GUCCCCAUCGUCUAGUGGCCUAGGACACCAGCCUUUCACGUUGGGAACACGGGUUCGAACCCCGUUGGGGACGCCA
rnacentral:tRNA from 1 species